UAUCUUAGCCAUGCUACCCUGAACAAGCCCAAUCCUGUCUGAUCUCGGAAGCUAAGCAGGGUCAGGCCUGGUUAGUACUUGGAUGGGAGACCACUUAGGAAGACCAGGUGUUGUAGGCA
rnacentral:rRNA from 1 species